CAGGGUGUGUGUCUGCGUACGAUCGCAGGAGAAGGGGGAAAAGGGGGUGUAAACCCUAACCACAAAAAAAUCAUCAAUUGAAAAGGAAAUCGCGGGUUGAUUGUGUGCAUGAACCAAGAAUGAUGAUCCCUUAAGCGUUUCUCACAUCAAUAUGAAUGUAUGUUGGAACGUGUCAAGGAGAGGUCAAGCAUAGGAGGAUAACGGGUCAAGAUAAGGCAAGGUGACAAAAACACUUAUUGGAGUACUCGAGGUAAGUGAAUUUCGAUUCACUUUUUAGUAGGUUUAAUAGAUUUUAAUACUUAUGUUUACGAAACAUCAUGAAAGAACAUGUAAUAAUCAGAAGUACAAAGCCAAUAAUGC
rnacentral:lncRNA from 1 species